GACUGUUAAGGAUCUGCUGAAACCCAAAAAGAGAAGUGGGGCGCACCCCGCGCAGCAAACCUGCUGUCCUCCCCGAAAAGGAAACACACACACCGGCCAGUGACUGCGCACAGCCCGCUCCCACUGCCACUCUGUGGAAAGUGCUUUGCGCAACCAGACAAGGCAGCUGAGGAACGAAGGCACGUCAGUGUCAAACAAAGGCCGUUCCCCCCAGGAUACCUGCAGCCAGCAAGAAGCAAUUCCUUCAGCACUGGGAGUGCCGACUUCAGGCACUGGCAGUGGAGACUUCAGGCACUGGGUGUGACGACUUCAGUCACUGGGAAUGACGACUGCCGUCACUAGGAGUAACUGCAGACACUGAGUGUGACUUUGACUUCAGUCACUGGGAGUGACUCAGGCAAGAGAUUGUGCUGCUCUUUGGCAGAUUUAGGCUUGUUUCCGGGAAGUAACCCUAACAGAAAUUCAGAAGCACAGGAGCUGCAUUCAAUUAGGACGUGGAUAAUGAAAUGCUCGUCUCACGACCUUCUAGAAGAAUGAGCUGGGACCCAUGUUCCGAGUCCUGCUGGAACCAGAGACCAAGAUUGCUGUCCAGUUUUUCCAAAACCAUAUGUUGAGGAGCC